CGCUGGCGGCGUGCCUAAUACAUGCAAGUCGAACGAACGGAGGAAGAGCUUGCUCUUCCAAAGUUAGUGGCGGACGGGUGAGUAACACGUGGGCAACCUGCCUGUAAGUUGGGGAUAACUCCGGGAAACCGGGGCUAAUACCGAAUGAUARARUGUGGCGCAUGCCACGCUUUUGAAAGAUGGUUUCGGCUAUCGCUUACAGAUGGGCCCGCGGUGCAUUAGCUAGUUGGUAGGGUAAUGGCCUACCAAGGCAACGAUGCAUAGCCGACCUGAGAGGGUGAUCGGCCACACUGGGACUGAGACACGGCCCAGACUCCUACGGGAGGCAGCAGUAGGGAAUCUUCCGCAAUGGACGAAAGUCUGACGGAGCAACGCCGCGUGUAUGAAGAAGGUUUUCGGAUCGUAAAGUACUGUUGUUAGAGAAGAACAAGGAUAAGAGUAACUGCUUGUCCCUUGACGGUAUCUAACCAGAAAGCCACGGC
rnacentral:rRNA from 1 species